UAUUAAAGUAGUAAUAGUUAUGUUCUUGAAACUUAAAAAAUUUGGCGGUAUUUUAGUCUAUUCAGAGGAACCUGUCCUGUAAUUGAUAAUCCACGUUGGACCUUACUUAAGUUAGUAAUUCAGUUUGUAUACCGUCGUUAUAAGAAUAUUUUAUUAGAAUAAUAAUUUUCUAGAAUUUUUAUAAAAAUUUAUAUCAGAUCAAGGUGCAGCUUAUAUUUAAGAAGAGAUGGGUUACAAUAAAUUUAUUUAUAUGAAUUAAUUUUUGAAAAAGAAUUAUGAAGGUGGAUUUGAAUGUAAAAUUAUAAAGAUUAAUAAUUUGAUUUUAGCUCUAAAAUAUGUACAUAUCGCCCGUCACUCUUAUUAUUAAGGUAAGAUAAGUCGUAACAUAGUAGAUGUACUGGAAAGUGUAUCUAGAAUGCAAUUUAAAGCUUAAAUAGGAAAGCAUUUCAUUUACAUUGAAAAGAUUUUUGUGCAAAUCAAUAUAAAUUGAAUAGAUUUUAUUUAUUAAUAUAUUUAGUUUUUUAUAUUUUAUAUUAGAAAUAACUGUAAAUAAAAUGUUUUAGUAUUUUAUAAAGAAUAAAUAAUUUUUAUAAUAGUUUAUUAGUAUUGUGAAAGAAAAUUGAAAUAAU
rnacentral:rRNA from 1 species